GACGAACGCUGGCGGCGUGCUUAACACAUGCAAGUCGAACGGAAAGUCCCGGCUUUGGUGGGGUGCUCGAGUUGCGAACGGGUGAGUAACACGUGAGUAACCUGCCCUUGCCUUUGGGAUAACUUCAUGAAACUGGGGCUCAUAGCGGAUAGGAUUUCCUGCUGCUUGGUGGGGGUUGGAUAGUUUCGGCGGUUGGGGAUGGACUGGCGGCUCAUCAGAUUGUUGGUGGGGUAGUGGCUUACCAAGGCUUUGACGGGUAGCCUGGCUGCGAGGGUGACCGGCCAAACUGGACCUGAGAUGAGGCACAGACUAGUACGGGAGGGAGAAGAGGAGAAUAGUACACAAUGGGCGGAAGCAUGAUGUAGCAACGCAGCGUGCGGGAUGACGUGCAUCGCGUUGUAAACUGCUGUCGCCUGUGACGAAGCGAGAGUGACGGUAAUGGGUAAAGAAGCACCGGCUAACUCCGUG
rnacentral:rRNA from 1 species